rnacentral:rRNA from 1 species
GACGGAGGGUGCAAGCGUUGUUCGGAAUUACUGGGCGUAAAGGGCGCGUAGGCGGUCUGUUAAGUUCGGUGUGAAAGCCCCCGGCUCACCUGGGGAACUGCGCCGGAAACCGACAGACUCGAGUACCGGAGAGGAGGGUGGAAUUCCUGGUGUAGCGGUGAAAUGCGCAGAUAUCAGGAGGAACACCGAUGGCGAAGGCAGGUCUCUGGGCAUUAACUGACGCUGAGGAGCGAAAGCAUGGGGAGCGAACAGG